ensembl:lncRNA
GCUCCCCGGGGGUCACUUCCCACCUUAACUACUCGUGCGUGCACAUGCGCAUGCGCAAAAACGUGCACACGCACGCGCUCGCGCGCGCGCACACAGACGCACGGGGUGAAUGGCGUGGUUUGGUACACCAAUGGUGCUUGCGAGGAGUGAGUUUUAUAUUCGUUGGACGACAUCUGGGUCUUCCUACGUGAGGAUUGUGGAAUUACACUCAAGUAUCACGAGACGUAGACAAGGCUGGGAUGAAGCUACAUGAACCCACGGUGGUUUCCUCAACAUUGGAUGCAUGCAUGCUCCGUUGCUCAGUCAUGUCCAACUCUGCAACCCCAUGGACUGUAGCACGCCAGGCUCCUCUGUCCAUGGGAUUUCCCAGGCAAGAAUACUGGAGUGGAUUGCCAUUUCCUUCUCCAAAGGAUCUUCCUGAGCCAGGGAUUGAACCCAUGGCUCCUGAAUUGCAGGUGGAUUCUUUACGGAGGAACCCCUCAAUAAAUAGUAACUGGAUGUAUGAAGAAAACUCGUAUGUUUGAAUGCAUUUAUUCUACUGUAAAUGUACUUCUUUAACUUCUUAAUUGCUUUCCCCCCUCAAGGAAUAGAAAUCUGCAAAACUACAUAAAACACACAUUUCCCAGAGCAAAUUUUUUAUUAAUGAUGUGUAAUUGAACAAGAAACUUGGUCUACACAGCCUAAGUUAUUCCCAGGUUUUAAUUGGAGUAAACACAUUCCUCAAAGCAAUAAUCUCUUAAGCAUCAGAAUGAAAAGAGGCCAAAGUAUGAAUGUAUGCGGAACAAUAAAACAAAUGUUUAAAACUGAGACAUAUCAAUCCCAUAGCUAGGCAACACUUUCAAAGAUUUUUAAUUCUUAAAAACCAACAACAGAAUAACAGUUAGUUUUAGGC